rnacentral:rRNA from 1 species
UAUUCGGUAAAAGAUGGGCCCGCAUCUGAUUAGCUAGUUGAUGAGAUAAUAGCCCACCAAGGCAACGAUCAGUAGCCGACCUGAGAGGGUGACCGGCCACAUUGGGACUGAGACACGGCCCAAACUCCUACGGGAGGCAGCAGUGGGGAAUAUUGCACAAUGGGCCAAAGCCUGAUGCAGCAACGCCGCGUGAAGGAAGACGGUUUUCGGAUUGUAAACUUCUAUCAAUAGGGAAGAAAGAAAUGACGGUACCUAAAUAAGAAGCCCCGGCUAACUACGUGCCAGCAGCCGCGGUAAUACGUAGGGGGCAAGCGUUAUCCGGAAUUACUGGGUGUAAAGGGAGAGUAGGCGGCAAGGUAAGCGAUAUGUGAAAGCCUUAAGCUUAACUUAAGGAUUGCAUAACGAACUAUCUAGCUAGAGUACAGGAGAGGAAAGCGGAAUUCCUAGUGUAGCGGUGAAAUGCGUAGAUAUUAGGAAGAACACCAGUGGCGAAGGCGGCUUUCUGGACUGAAACUGACGCUGAGGCUCGAAAGCGUGGGGAGCGAACAGGAUUAGAUACCCUGGUAGUCCACGCUGUAAACGA